UCAUGUCACCGGUGCUGGACGUGCACGCUGCACUGCACACCUGGGACACCAGCCGAUGUGCUGCCCGACAAUGUGCAAACAUGAAAAGGCACAUCAGGGUAAUCGUUGCUCAGCAUAAUCAGCAUCUCUGUGCUUCACGGGAACAGCUAUUCGGGGUCCAAGAGGGCGUAUGGAGAGAGACAAUCAGGCGCUCUGGCUUCACUCUGGGAACUGCUUCCAUCUGGCAGGACGUAAGGCUCUGAUUCCAGCUCACACAAUCACACGUGCGACUGACCGACUGUCAAUCAUUGCCCUCGUCUCAUCCCAUCAUACUGGCGACAUGCUGCUCCUCUGACAGCUUCAUCAACGCCACAUGAAAAAUCCAGGCACGGUCUGGAAGGAAGAGUUGAAAUAUUCACCACAUCGCUGAGGUUUGACUCGUUUAGGGAACAAAAUGGCGGCAGCAGCCUGAGGUCCUGCAGGUUGCACAUACCAUAACCAUGGAAUGUAGGUAUGCAUUUUACAUCAUACUGUACUAAACCAUGCACUUGUGUUUUGCAAAUGGAGUCACAACAUGCAAUUUGCGUGCAUUAUACAUAAUGACAGUAAAUUAAAGAACUCAAAACUGGCAGUGGUGCACUGUAUUUACUGGAUGUGUUGGAAGUCACAUCAAAACCUGUACCUCCAGUGCAGGAAUGUCAUUGUAUGGGACAAGCUCAAAUCCUGGCAUGUAGGGACCAAAACCUUCAUAACUGCUGGGAUCAGUGGAGCUGGAGAUGGCUGCCAUGGUGCGCCCCCAGAAAUUUCCAUCUGAUCAACAAGAGUGAAAAGAAAGUAUUUAUUACAUUGUUCUUCUUUCAAUUUUUCCAAACGGUGAUUUGUUGAUCGGGUGACUUUUUUUUUGGAUGUCGACUCAGUGGUCAACCCAUCCUGUAACAGCUGAGGGGAUUGCUGUGCGUCCCUAUUCUAGGAAGGAAAUGUGCUAACUUCCUGACUACACAAAGGCAGCAC